UGCUCACUUUGUCUUUACAGUGCUUGCCACCUGAAUUGGAAAAGUGAGUUGUGGAGAAAUAAUGAGUGCUAGUUUGAACUUCAACCAGCUCUUGGGAAUCAUUAGCACAGCGGUCUGGAAACUCUCACCUUGUGGAUGACUCAGUGUCCCAGCAGCCUCUUCUGAGGAAGGAACGGAGACUGAAGCAGAUCCAGGGCUCCUUUUCUGAAGGGUGGACACUGGCCCCCAUCACACCGGGUACUCCUGCCUGCCUUGCCCAGCACUGGCAGUGA
rnacentral:lncRNA from 1 species